rnacentral:rRNA from 1 species
UACGGAGGAUGCAAGCGCUAUCCGGAUUCAUUGGGUUUAAAGGGUGCGUAGGCGGGCUAUUAAGUCAGUGGUGAAAUCCUGCAGCUUAACUGCAGAACUGCCGUUGAUACUGAUAGUCUUGAGUUUGGUUAAGGUAGGCGGAAUGUGUAAUGUAGCGGUGAAAUGCUUAGAUAUUACACAGAACACCAAUUGCGUAGGCAGCUUACUGAGCCGACACUGACGCUGAGGCACGAAAGCGUGGGGAUCAAACA